rnacentral:rRNA from 1 species
GGAUAGGAACACCCCCGGGAAACUGGGGCUAAUUCCCAAUAGGCGGAGAACUCUGGAAUGAGUCUCCACCCGAAAAGACGUCUAGAUCAUGCUUCUAGGCGUCGCCCAAGGAUGGGGCCGCGACCGAUCAGGUUGUUGGUGAGGUAAUGGCCCACCAAGCCUAUAACCGGUGCGGGCCGUGAGAGCGGGAGCCCGGAGAUGGGCACUGAGACAAGGGCCCAGGUCCUACGGGGCGCAGCAGUCGCGAAAACUUUGCAAUACACGAAAGUGUGACAGGGUCAUCCCGAGUGCCGACCGCUGAGGUUGGCUUUUACCCAGUCUAGAAAGCUGGGGGAAUAAGGAGAGGGCAAGUCUGGUGUCAGCCGCCGCGGUAAUACCAGCUCUCCGAGUGGUGUGGACGUUUAUUGGGCCUAAAGCAUCCGUAGCUGGCUGAACAAGUCCCCUGUUAAACCCACCGAUUUAAUCGUUGGCUUGCGGGGGAUACUGCUCGGCUAGGGGACGAGAGAGGCAGACGGUAUUCCCGGGGUAGGGGUGAAAUCCUAUAAUCCCGAGAAGACCACCAGUGGCGAAGGCUGUCUGCUAGAACGCGCCCGACGGUGAGGGAUGAAAGCUGGGGGAGCGAACCGGAUUAGAUACCCGGGUAGUCCCAGCUGUAAACGAUGCAGACUAGGUGUUUGGACGGCCACGUGCCGUUCUAGUGCCGCAGGGAAGCUGUUAAGUCUGCCGCCUGGGGAGUAAC